rnacentral:rRNA from 1 species
UGGGGAAUUUUGGACAAUGGGCGCAAGCCUGAUCCAGCAAUGCCGCGUGAGUGAAGAAGGCCUUCGGGUUGUAAAGCUCUUUUGUCAGGGAAGAAACGGUGAGUCCUAAUACGGCUUGCUAAUGACGGUACCUGAAGAAUAAGCACCGGCUAACUACGUGCCAGCAGCCGCGGUAAUACGUAGGGUGCAAGCGUUAAUCGGAAUUACUGGGCGUAAAGCGUGCGCAGGCGGUUAUAUAAGUCAGAUGUGAAAUCCCCGGGCUCAACCUGGGAACUGCAUUUGAGACUGUAUGGCUAGAGUGUGUCAGAGGGGGGUAGAAUUCCACGUGUAGCAGUGAAAUGCGUAGAUAUGUGGAGGAAUACCGAUGGCGAAGGCAGCCCCCUGGGAUAACACUGACGCUCAUGCACGAAAGCGUGGGGAGCAAACAGG